rnacentral:rRNA from 1 species
CGGAGGGUGCGAGCGUUGUCCGGAAUCACUGGGCGUAAAGGGCGCGUAGGCGGCGCGGGUAGUCAUCGGUGAAAGCUCAGGGCUCAACUCUGAGUCGGCCGGUGAUACUCCCGUGCUCGAGCACUGUAGAGGCAGGUGGAAUUCCGGGUGUAGCGGUGGAAUGCGUAGAGAUCCGGAAGAACACCGGUGGCGAAGGCGGCCUGCUGGGCAGUAGCUGACGCUGAUGCGCGACAGCGUGGGGAGCAAACAGGAUUAGAUACCCUGGUAGUCCACGCCGUAAGCGAUGGGCACUAGGUGCUUGGGGGAGCGACCCUCUGAGUGCCGGCGCUAACGCAUUAAGUGCCCCGCCUGGGGAGUACGGCCGCAAGGCUG